UACGUAGGGUGCGAGCGUUGUCCGGAAUUAUUGGGCGUAAAGAGCUCGUAGGCGGUUUGUCGCGUCGACUGUGAAAACCUGGGGCUUAACUCUGGGCCUGCAGUCGAUACGGUCAGACUUGAGUUCGGUAGGGGAGACUGGAAUUCCUGGUGUAGCGGUGAAAUGCGCAGAUAUCAGGAGGAACACCGGUGGCGAAGGCGGGUCUCUGGGCCACUACUGACGCUGAGAAGCGAAAGCGUGGGGAGCGAACAGG
rnacentral:rRNA from 1 species